GCACCUGCCCUCGGUCUCCCAGACACAUUCCCAGGACCAGGAGGGACUCUUUGAAACGCGUCUUGCAGAUGAUACCAAGCUGAGUGGUGCAGUGGAUACUAUGGAAGGAAGGGAUGUCAUCCAAAAGGUCCUGAAUAAGCUUGAGAAGUGGGCCUAUGUGAACCAAAUGAGGUUCAAAAAGGCCAAGUGCAAGUUGCUGCACCUGGGCUGAGGCAAUCCCAGACAUGAGUACAGACUAGGUGAGGAACUCAUUGAGAGCAGCUCUGCAGAGAAGGACGUGGGGUCCUGAUGAAUAAAAAGCUCGACAUGAGCUGGCAGUGUGUGUUUCCAGCCCAGAAAGCCAACUGCAUCCUGGGUUGCAUCAACGGAGGAAUGUCUGGAGCCCCCAGCACAAGCAGGAUGUGGAGCUCUUAGAACAGGUUCAGGGGAGGGCCGUGAAGAUGAUCAAGGGGUUGGAGCAUCUCUCCUACAAAGAAAGACUGUGAGAGCUGGGGAUGUUCAGCCUACAGAAGCGAAGGCUCCAGGGUGACUUCAUUGGGGUGUAACUAGGUGGGGGGCUGUAACUAGAUGGUCCUUGAGGUCUGUUCCAGCCCAAGAUAAUAUAUUAUUGUGUGAUUCUAAGAUUCUAUGAAAUCCAAGGCACCAUGACCUGGAGUGUGGAGUGGCCCUUGUCCUUGUCCUGCGUGGUCAGGAGCAGCCGCUUCCUGAAGGAGUGGGCAUCAUCCCUGCAUAUCGCAGCUCCCUUCUUCGAAAAAAACAGGCCCUACAAGGUGGCUCUGGUCCUCGUGGUAUCAGCUGCAAGCAUUCGCUUUGGUGUUUAUCUCUAUCGAAAGCAAGCAACACAGAGUCAGGAGCUGGUGGAACUGGCUGCCAAACUCGAGGAACAAGCUGCAGUGCUGGAUGAAUACCGUACAAACGCUGAGCGCCAAUCUGCAAGACUGAAGGAACUAGCUGAAGAGCUGGUGAGGAAGGAUACAGAACGUGAGGAACAAGCAGAAGAUCUGGCACAAAAAGAUAAAAGGCUGGAACUGUCAGCAGAGCUGGGUGAGUGUCCCACCCCAACGGAAAGAACUUC
rnacentral:lncRNA from 1 species